GUCUUAUUUUACCAUCAAUCAGAGAUAUAUAUACGCACAGAGAGAUACCAGUAUAAAAACGAACUCGGGUUUCCAAAAAUCAAACCCAGCCGAAGCUGUAAUCGCAACCACUUCUUAUUCAGGUUGUGUAUUGCUGGGAAGUCAUGCCGGACGUGCACGUUCUAGUGAAUGAUUUCGUGGUGAAGCUCAGGAAACGUAAAAUCGAGGGGUCAAAGGCUACGGCCAAGCAAACUGCGGAGCUACUUCGGUCCGUAAUUUCACAGCAGCGAAUGCCCCAUGUAAACCAGGCCGGGGCUCUGAUUGAUGCUAUAAUGAUGGUCGGAGAGCAGCUGAUUGCUGCAAAUCCUGUUGAGCUUGCUGUUGGUAAUAUUGUGAGGCGUGUUUUACAUAUAAUUAGGGAAGAGGAUCUUUCUCUCGCGACAGCUGCUAUUGGCGGGUUGAAUUUAUCUGCUGAAAGUGAUGAAGACGACGACGUUGAUCGUGAUGAUCACCCAGUUUUGUCAGCUGCAGCUGUUGCUGCUGCUGCUAGAAGCACUCUAAGACCACCUUCGUUACAGGCUCUUCUUGAAGAUGUGCCUAACCCAGCCGCUGUUCCUCGCUCGUCUUCUUCUGGGGGUGAUUCUGAAGGGAAAAGCAAAUCUGCUGAUAAAACUUCAAAGAGUUGGAAGCUAAAGCAUAACGUCAUUGAGGCAGUUAAUGAGCUUAUCCAAGAUAUCAGCACUUGCCAUGAGCAGAUUGCUGAGCAAGCAGUGGAGCAUAUUCAUCAAAACGAGGUUAUAUUAACUUUAGGCAACUCAAGAACAGUAAUGGAAUUCCUCUGUGCUGCAAAGGAGAAAAAAAGAUCAUUUCGGGUGUUCGUUGCAGAAGGUGCUCCAAGAUAUCAAGGGCAUGUUCUUGCAAAAGAACUGGUUGCAAGAGGAUUACAAACAACAGUCAUUACUGAUUCUGCCAUUUUUGCUAUGAUUUCCCGAGUGAACAUGGUUAUCGUCGGAGCUCAUGCCGUUAUGGCCAAUGGUGGUGUUAUAGCACCCAUUGGGUUGAAUAUGGUUGCAUUAGCUGCCAAAAGGCAUGCUGUCCCUUUCGUGGUGCUUGCUGGCAUUCACAAGUUGUGCCCCUUAUAUCCUCAUAAUCCAGAGGUCUUAUUGAAUGAGCUGAAAUCUCCAUCUGACCUUCUGGACUUCGGAGAAUUCUCAGAUUGCAUGGAUUUUGGAAGUGGUGCUGGUUCUCAUCUUCUUCAUGUUGUUAAUCCUGCUUUUGACUAUGUGCCUCCAAAGCUUGUUAAUUUGUUUAUUACUGACACAGGAGGGCAUAACCCAUCGUACAUGUAUCGCCUCAUUGCGGAUUAUUACUCAGCUGUUGAUUUGGUAGUGCAAAGGAGACCUGCUUCUUGAAAUCAAGCUUAGCUACCUGUCAUAUAUUUUGAGUAAGUCGUUGAUAUUUGUUAUUUAGUUGGAUGACUUCUAUUAUAUUGCUACAUUAGUUUUUGGAUGUUGUGAAUUGUGGAAUACUUGUGGAGUAUUUUGAAGGAAAAUGAUUUUGGCACUCCAUUUUUUUAUGAUGGCAUUCCAAAAUGUCUUUAGUGUGCCUUGCUAUGUAUAAUUUUUACACUAAAAGACAAGUUUUGGAGUGCCAUCAUAAAAAAGUGGAGUGCCAAAAUCAUUUGCCUAUUUUGAAUUAUGGAGUCGAACAAGUAUCAAGUGGAUCUCUGGUAAUUUUAAAGCUUGAGGGAAGAGGCUUGCACCCAGACCCACUUGCUAAGCCCGCAUUAGUUCACCAUACUGGAGGCAUUGUAUGAUUUCAGGGGCAGUUUCAAGUUGUCUCAGUCAUAUUUGUUUAGAUAAUUUGCUUAAAUCUUUUACGUAGUUGUUUGUUUUUUUAUUGGGGCCAUAAAACCUACUUAUCAAAAAAAAAUUGGACCAUAAAACCUUCAAAGUGUUUGAAGAAAAAGAUAAAAGUACUGCACCUAUGGUGGCACAAGUAAAAAAGAGAGGGCUAUUCUAGGCUACAUAGAGUGAAGGUACCAUAGGUGUAGAAACUGCAGAGGUACAUUGAAAGUAUCAAGACAUGUGCGUCUCUCAUGUAAAAGGACAUAAAAUAACUUGUCUGUGACAUGUGACUGUUAAAGUGGGAAAGAACAAGUUAGAAUAGGGGUGGGAAUCGCCGAGUUGGGCCGGAAUGCUUGGACAUGCCGAAAUGAGCCUGGAAAUUGAGAGAAAGAACUGUCACUCAACUGUACCGCUUUCCUCUCAAAACGGGCUGUAUGGUACGAGAUUAAUAACAUUGUUUUGAAGGCAAACUGGAGGUCAGUACUGGAAGACUUAGAGAAACAAUGAUAUGUAUAGUAGUUUAUGACCAAAAGAAAUGCAGAAACGUCUAACCCAUCCCAAAUCUGCAUCGUGUCCAUAUACUGGCACUCCAGGAAAAAAAAGGGGAUUUCCAUUGUGGUAAUUUCCGAGCUAUUCUGUUGUUGUUACCCAUUUGUCCAUAUUUAUAGGCUGAUGUAUUGUCAUGGAACCCCUCACUGAUUGUCAUAAAUAAUUUCCAGAAUUGUUAUUCUAGGUGAUUAAUUUCAAAAUUUUCGCCUUUAUGCGAUCGAGCUUGAUCUACUUUCUGCGAUGGAGCUUGAUUUACUUUCUGCCUGGCGCAUAAGUUUUCAGAUUUACAUGAGAGUUGCCAAUUCUGCGAUGAAGUCUAAGGUUGUCUUCAUUUUUGUGUCUAAGAAUUGGGGGACUGGAAACUGAAAUGUCUGGUCGAACUGGUAAUGCGUGAAAUCUCGACUGUGGAUGUCGGAUGAGUUAAUGGGAACCAGGGUCUUGAGGAAAAUGAUUUUAUGAGGUAAGCGCAUGGAUAUGGUACGAACCUUCAAAAGAGCUAUAGAGGAGUGCUUUUCAUUUCGUUUUUCUUUCGUUUUUUGGGGGGUAUUUGUGAUGAGAUGUAAGACUUGUAACGAGAAAACAAGAAAAUGACGGCCAAGUGCCGCAAUUCUGAGGAUUAUUUUAUUUUUGAGAAAACACUAUCCGAGGUUAGUAGGCAUUUUUUGUAGCAAGAAUAGGGCAUAUCAGACUUGUUAAGUUGGAUCAUACUCGAAAUACAGUUGUAUUAGCUUGUGAAAUCGAUAGCAUUUACAAGAGUAAUGCUAUUCAGACGACGAAGGACCAGUCCCGUUUUAUA